rnacentral:SRP_RNA from 1 species
GCCGGGCAUGGUGGCUCGUGCCCGUAGUCCCAGCUACUCGGGAGGCGGAGGUGGGAGGAUCGCUUGAGCCCAGGAGUUCUGGGCUGUAGUGCCCUAUGCCGAUCGGGUGUCCGAACUAAGUUUGGCAUCAAUAUGGUGACCUCCCGAGAGUGGGGGACCACCAGGUUGCCUAAGGAGGGAUGACCCAGCCCAGGUUCUAAAUGGAGCAGGUCAAAACUCCCGUGCUAAUCAGUAGUGGGAUUGCACCUGUGAAUAGCCACUGCACUCCAGCCUAGGCAACAUAGCAAGACCGUGUCUUGU